rnacentral:rRNA from 1 species
UCUGAAUGGAAGGGCCAUCGCUCAACGGAUAAAAGGUACUCCGGGGAUAACAGGCUGAUACCGCCCAAGAGUUCAUAUCGACGGCGGUGUUUGGCACCUCGAUGUCGGCUCAUCACAUCCUGGGGCUGAAGUAGGUCCCAAGGGUAUGGCUGUUCGCCAUUUAAAGUGGUACGCGAGCUGGGUUUAGAACGUCGUGAGACAGUUCGGUCCCUAUCUGCCGUGGGCGCUGGAGAACUGAGGGGGGCUGCUCCUAGUACGAGAGGACCGGAGUGGACGCAUCACUGGUGUUCGGGUUGUCAUGCCAAUGGCACUGCCCGGUAGCUAAAUGCGGAAGAGAUAAGUGCUGAAAGCAUCUAAGCACGAAACUUGCCCCGAGAUGAGUUCUCCCUGACCCUUUAAGGGUCCUGAAGGAACGUUGAAGACGACGACGUUGAUAGGCCGGGUGUGUAAGCGCAGCGAUGCGUUGAGCUAACCGGUACUAAUGAACCGUGAGGCUUAACCUUACAACGCCGAAGGUGUUU